GCCUUAAUCCCACAUAUGAUGGUAUUUGGAGGUAGAGACUUGGGGAAGUGAUUAGGAUUAGUUGAGGUCAUGAGGAUUGAGUCUUCAUGAAGGAAUUAAUAACCCAUAAGAAGAGACCAAAGAGCUUGCAUGCUCUGUCUCUGCCAUGCGAGGAUACAGCAAGAAGGUAGCCAUCUGUAUGCCAAGAAGAGAGCUGCACCAGAAGCUGAACGGGACAGUACCCGAUCUUAGACUUUCCAAUGUCUACUGUUCAAGCCACCCAGCCUAUAGUAUUUUGUUACAGCAGCCCAAGCAGAUGAAGGCAGGCCUUUUCAUUGUGACUUUGGGAUACGCUACACUGUUGGAUAUUUACUAGGGUGAGAAAGAAUAAAGCAGUAGGCUGGUAGGCCCAAGAAUUUCGACUGAUACAAUUAUUUUUUUGUUAUUACUUAAUUCAUUUAUUACGUUUAUAGUUGUACAGUGAUCCUCACAAUCCAAUUUUACAGGAUUUCCAUCUCACAACCCCAGCGACAGAUACAAUUAGAGGAAUCUUCUUGGCCAAGCGUGCUAAAGUUUCCUGUCUUGGUGAACUGUCAAUCUCCAAGUUAAAAAAUCUGCUUUAAAACUGGUCACUAUUGAUUUUAUGAUGUGAAGGCAAAUGUUGGAGAUCUAAAAGAAAAAUAGAAUCGAACAAAAGGAUAUUAGGGGAACUUACAAGGUCUUUGAUGACUUGUCCCAUUCUGAUGAAAUACAUCAAUGCCGGAGAAUCGUUGUUGAAAUAGAUGGCCUUGAUAUAUGCUAAAACGUAGGACUGUUUCGUGCUUGUAAUUGAGAAGAGGAUCUUUUGCCAGUAAUUUUGUUCAUGAUGCAUGAGUCAGAGGAGAAUACAAUUCUCUUCUAAAGCUAUGCUAAAGAUAAAAUGCCGACACUGGGGGGAAAAGGCUUUGUCAGUAAAUAAAUACAACACAGACACAAAGAAUUGAUGUAUAUGGUAAUAAUUGCACUCUAUUACUUUUACAAAGUCCUCUGGCUUACUGAUGCUUAAGAAAAUAUACUACUAAAUAGCCCCUUGAAAGGGAUGGAGUAGUUGAGAUAUUGCUUUUCAAAAUUUAGACUCAAGGGCUCUCUACAGAUUUAAAGAUGCCUGAGUUGUGUAGGACCAAAUUCCUAACAAAUGAAAAAUAAAAGCAAUUUAUGUGCAUGCAGUGGUUGACAAUUGCACAUUCUGUUUUUGUAUCCUAUUCCAUGUGUGAAUUUGUAGAAUAUAUGUAGUAAUCCUUCAAUAUUGGGAUAAUGGGAAAGACACAUAUGGAGUUGAAGACGCCUACAUGCUAAUCUUUUUUUUUUUUUUUCUUUUUAGGGAUGCUCAUAUGGCAUAUGGAAGUUCUUGGGCUAGAGGUUGAAUUAGAACGGUAGCUGCAGGCCUGUGCCGCAGUCACAGAAACAGGGCAUCUGAGCUUCCUCUGCAACCUCCACCGCAGCUUGGGGCAGCACCAGAUCCUUAACCCACUGAGUGAAGCCAGACAUCAAACCCAUAUCCUCAUGGAUAUGAGUCAGAUUCUUAACCCCGUAGCCACAAUGGGAACUCCUUCUACAUGCUAAUCUUUGAUGUUUUAAUCUUCAAAAUAGAGGGAGUAAUAAUACCAACAGCUCAGGGUUGUCCUAAGAGUUAAAUGAAAUAACGUAUGUGAAAUGUGGCCUAAAAAACACAUUAAACCGGGAGUAGAAACCCAAAAAGUUAUUUCAUUUCCAAACUGGAAAAUGCAACACAAAGGAAAUAAUGAGUAGCUUUUGUCACCAAUAAUAAGUGAAGAAGGGGUGGCUAGUAAGCAGUGGGUAUAUGAAUGGAAGAAAAGGAAUCCAGUGACUAAACUGUUUGAAGGAAGUUGGCUUGUGUUCUCAUCACCCAGAGCCAGGGCAGAAGAGCUUAACCAGAGGAGAAAUUAGUUGCCUUCUAGGAAGCCAAUUUGGAAGGAGAGCUAGGGACUCUGGACAAGGAAGUGGGGAGCAGUGGAAUCUUUUUACCUGCUUCCUAAGUGAGGGCAGCCUGAAACACUGCUGCUGCGGUGCACUGGGCAGGCCAGUCACAGCUGAGACCAUUCAGGUCUAAGCAAAGGAGGGCUGCCUGUGGGGAGGGGUGGCUGGUGCAGCGGGCAGGACACAGCUUCCAUCAGCAUUCCCACUCCCAACCCCCAAUCCAGAGAUCUUAGUCAAAAAACUGGCUGGCUCUGCAAAUAAAGCCUUAAGACAAGUCUCCAUUCCAUUCAGCUUGCUUGUAAGCCUUUUCUAUUUAGAACGUUGGGAGCUGUCAUUAUUUUUUUUUUUAUUUUUAUUUUUUUUCUGUCUUUUGCCUUUUCUAGGGCCGCUCCCGCAGCAUAUGGAGGUUCCCAGGCUAGGAGUCGAAUCGGAGCUGCAGCCACCGGCCUAUGCCGGAGCCACAGCAACGCAGGAUCUGAGCCUCGUCUGCGACCUACAACGCAGCUCACAGAAAUGCCAGAUCCUUAACCCACUGAGCAAGGCCAGGGGUCAAACCCGCAACCUCAUGGUUCCUAGUAGGAUUUGUUAACCACUGAGCUACUACGGGAACUCCUGGCAGCUGUCAUUCUUUUCUGCUCUGUUUUAGAAGAAAAACGACUAAUUUCCUCUAUAUUUAUUUAGGGUUUAUCUUUUUCACCGGAUGAUAAGCUCCAUAGGAUGUGCUUCUGUCAGUUUGUUUUCCCACUGUGUCCUCACAGCCUGGGUCAGUGCCUGGCACAUAAUAGGUGUGCAUUAAAUAGACAAGGACUGACUAUGCAUCACCAAGUAAAUAAGAAGAAUGGGUAAAUAAGGAAUGGGUGGGGCCUUGGAGAGCUAACAUUUCCUGCCUCAUUUGCAUUAGUUUUUUUACAGCAUCAGGUUUGAUCCUUCAGACUACCCUGGAGAUUGAUGUAACUGUCUUGUUUAGUAAAUGAGAAAAUGGAAAUUUGGAGAAUUUAUCAACCUUAUGUCUGGCCUCACACCUGGGAAAUGAUGUAGAAUUUGGAAGGGAUUUGAUCGAUGCCAAAAUUCACAAUCCUCCGACUGCCAAGGUCCCCCUGCCCAGCAGGGAUGGGACCCUGAGGAGCAGAAGACCUAGAUUCUAUUCUAAAGGGGCCCCAAGGCAACUCCGAAGCCAAUUGCGGUUCUUGGGAAGAGGAGAACUGAAUUUUCUGUUUGUUAUUAAGGAAAGCUCAUGUUUGUUUGAACUGCUUGCAGUGUUCCCAGUGAAUUAGGACUGUGGAUAAACAUACUUAGCAGGACCUGAGACUCAGUAAGGAGGGAUUUAAUAAGUGUUUACAGCACAAAUGAAGGAGAAAAGCAAAAGAAAGAGAGAAAGGGUAAACCAACCGGGAGGGGGCCCGUUUUAAUCUGAAGGCCACCAGGAAGAGCAUGGCUAGCAGCAGGGACCUGGGAGGAAAUCAUGAAGAAGGGGAAUUAGAACAAGCCCUGAGCCUGGGAGAAAGAGAAGGAAAUGAGAAGCAAGGCAAACACAUUUAAAGCCCACGCAAAAAGAUUCCUGGGUCUUCUCUCGAGCUCUCUAAACAACAAUAAUGUGUUUCUUCAGGUCACUAGAUAAUCUAACCAAACCAAACUGUUGCCUUUGGAAAGUCAAUGAGGCUUUCUAGAGUGAGUUGUCCUGGCAUCAGGAAAGGAAUUUCUAGGAGCCCUCUGGUGCCUGGAAUGGGAUGAGUGCAAAGGUUCCUGGUGCUGUGAUGAGAAUGUUCAUUACAAGCUUCAUUGAUUCACGUUUACUCAAUAGGCAAGAUGUUUGCUAUUGACUGUGGCUACACUAAGGCCCUCCUCACCCAACCCUGGCAGGUCAGGAUAAGGAAGCUUCAUAGUUUCCUGAUAAAGGAAAUAGGCCCUGGGAGUUCCCAUCGUGGUUCAGCGGAAAUGAAUCUGACUGGCAUCCAUGAGGAUGCAGGCUCCAUCCCUGGCCUUGCUCAGUGGGUUAAGGAUCCGGCGUUGCUGUGCCUGUGUCUGAGACCAGCAGCUACAGCUCCGAUUCGACCCCUAGCCUGGGAACUUGCAUAUGCUGCAGGUGCGGCCCUAAAAAAGGAAAAAAAAAAAAAAAGGAAAUAGGCCCCUAGGCAAUAUUAAUAUUGCUAAGAGAAGCGGGUGUGCUGGGGUUGUCCUCUGACCUUUGAGUGACUGAUAUCUUGCAGACCCACGCUCCACUCCUUGGUCCCGUUCUCAGAGGCAGAAUCCUGACAUGAAAGGAGCAGGGGCCUUAUCCGUCCAUCUGCCCUUCUUCCCUUCCUGCGAAGGUGAGGAAGGUGCCGCCCCUUAAUGGCUCAGGCAUCUGCUCAGCAAUUCCCUGCUCUGGCCUCCCUGGACCAGGGGAGGUGAAGAAAGGACUUGGCACCUCACCAAACCUUAACUGCAAGGUAUUUUCCACUAAUUAUUAUUAAUUCUCUUGAAAUGGUUCCAUGCAUUUAAAUAUGAGAGAACCCAGUACCUGUGAAGUGUGAUUUAUCCAACUUGGAACCAGAAAUGAUAUUGAUAUUUACAAUAGCUACUUAGUAGCCCUGUCCACUUUUCUUGGAAAACCAGCAUAGCCUAGUUUGUUGCAUAAUAUCAAGAUGGAUUGAUUCUUAUUAUUCGUCUUAGUGACUUUUGCUGGCUACUAUAUAACUAAUUAAGAAGCGUUUUUCAUACAGUGAUUAAACAUAUGGGAUUUAGGAUCAGGCUGGUCUCAAAUCAUGGCUUGAUUAUUUUCUAGCUCAGUGGCCUUCGGGAAAUUAACCUUACAACCUCAGUUUCCUCAUUUGUAAAAUGAGCAUAGGAGCUGUAAUUUUCUAGAUUGUUAUGCAGGUUAAGUGAAUUAAACCAUGUGAGGCACUUAGUUUAAAAAGGUCUAUCACAUAUUAAGUUUUAUUUAAAGAAUACUAGAUAUUUGCACGAUAGCAAGACGUACAUUUUCCACAUUUUGACAUUUCUGGAUUGGGAUGUGUCUUAAAACCUUGCCAAAGGGACUCUCCAGCUGCUAGGCAGAGAGCCUGACAAGUUACCAUUGCUUUCCUGUGCUCAUGUGCCCACUUUGCCAGAUACAGAAGGUUUCUGUUGUGGCUCAGUGGGUCAAGAACCCAACAUAGUGUCCGUGAGGAUAAGGGUUCGAUUCCUGACCAUGUUCAGUGGGUUAAGGAUCUGG
ensembl:lncRNA